CGUAAACUUUGAUCCGAAGAUUUCCGAAUGAGGAAACUCACUUAGAGUAAUGUCUAAGUAUCAUUAAGUGAAUACAUAGCUUAAUGAGGGGAACUCAGGGAACUGAAACAUCUAAGUACCUGAAGGAAGAGAAAGAAAUUCGAUUCCGUAAGUAGCGGCGAGCGAACGCGGAUUAGCCCAAACCAAUAAAGUUUUCUUUAUUGGGGUUGCGGACAUAUCAUAACGAAGAGGUAUCGUAAUUGAAGAGGUUUGGAAAGAUCCACCACAGAAGGUAAUAGUCCUGUAUGUUAAACGAGAAGACUUUAGAUAUGAUCCAGAGUACCACGGGACACGUGAAACCCUGUGGGAAGCAGGAGGGACC
rnacentral:rRNA from 1 species